rnacentral:rRNA from 1 species
UACGUAGGGUGCAAGCGUUGUCCGGAAUUACUGGGCGUAAAGGGCGCGUAGGCGGACAGUUUAGUCAGAGGUGAAAGCCCAGGGCUCAACCUUGGAAAUGCCUUUGAUACCGGCUGUCUUGAGUUCGGGAGAGGUGAGUGGAAUGCCGAGUGUAGAGGUGAAAUUCGUAGAUAUUCGGCGGAACACCAGUGGCGAAGGCGACUCACUGGCCCGAUACUGACGCUGAGACGCGAAAGCGUGGGGAGCGAACAGG